rnacentral:rRNA from 1 species
UACAGAGGGUGCGAGCGUUAAUCGGAAUUACUGGGCGUAAAGCGCACGUAGGUGGCGACGUAAGUCGGGUGUGAAAGCCCCGGGCUCAACCUGGGAAUUGCAUUCGAGACUGCAUUGCUGGAGUACGGAAGAGGAAGGCGGAAUUCCCGGUGUAGCGGUGAAAUGCGUAGAUAUCGGGAGGAACAUCAGUGGCGAAGGCGGCCCUCUGGUCCAGUACUGACACUCAAGUGCGAAAGCGUGGGGAGCAAACAGG